CCUACGGGCGGCAGCAGUGAGGAAUAUUGGUCAAUGGACGAGAGUCUGAACCAGCCAAGUAGCGUGAAGGAUGACUGCCCUAUGGGUUGUAAACUUCUUUUAUAUGGGAAUAAAACGUUCAACGUGUGGGAUUUUGUAUGUACCAUAUGAAUAAGGAUCGGCUAACUCCGUGCCAGCAGCCGCGGUAAUACAGAGGAUCCGAGCGUUAUCCGGAUUUAUUGGGUUUAAAGGGAGCGUAGGUGGCUUGUUAAGUCAGUUGUGAAAGUUUGCGGCUCAACCGUAAAAUUGCAGUUGAAACUGGCAGUCUUGAGUACAGUAGAGGUAGGCGGAAUUCGUGGUGUAGCGGUGAAAUGCUUAGAUAUCACGAAGAACUCCGAUUGCGAAGGCAGUUCACUGGACUGCAACUGACACUGAGGCUCGAAAGUGUGGGUAUCAAACAGGAUUAGAUACCCCUGUAGUC
rnacentral:rRNA from 1 species